GAAGAAGAAAAAUAUUCUUUACUGGGAAUUAAGAAAGUGAAGAAAACUUGGAGAUGGGUUGACAAUGAGGAGGAUAGGCUGCCACUACGCAUUUGCUCCACAUCGUUAAGGAGGGAAGGAGUGGAAAAAAAAUAACCAGGGAAGAAAGCUUGGACAGUGGACAUGGGCGUGAUUUUUACUUGGGAGUUGACCUUUGGAGAUGGAGGCCAAGCGAAGCCAGUGUGAUGCUGAUGCUUCCAGGGUGUGGCGAAUGCACGACUGGGACGAAAUAAUCUAUGGACUUUACAAGGUUCCUCUCACAUGGUGGAGCUUUGGUUGCGCGUUAGCGAAACAUACGCGAGCAUCUCACAUGGAAACAAACAACACACAAAUGGAGACUAGAGAAAAAGAGUGGAAGAAGAAGGAUUUUGGGAUCUGGGUGAUGAGAUGAGCAAACACGCCGAGGAAUCUCUUUCCAGGAAAGAAACGAGAGGUAUGGAUACGCCAAAAGAUUUGGGGAUAUAGAUCAUGCUUACACCACCUUUCAGCUGGAACCAUUCUAAAGAAGAGAUUUCCGGGAAGCACUCUAAAGAUAUGAGAAUUUUGAGGA